UUGGACAAUGGGCGCAAGCCUGAUCCAGCCAUGCCGCGUGGGUGAAGAAGGCCCUAGGGUUGUAAACCCCUUUCAGCGGGGAAGAUAAUGACGGUACCCGCAGAAGAAGUCCCGGCUAACUCCGUGCCAGCAGCCGCGGUAAUACGGAGGGGACUAGCGUUGUUCGGAAUUACUGGGCGUAAAGCGCACGUAGGCGGAUUUGUAAGUCAGGGGUGAAAUCCCGAGGCUCAACCUCGGAACUGCCUUUGAUACUGCAAAUCUCGAGUCCGGAAGAGGUGAGUGGAAUUCCUAGUGUAGAGGUGAAAUUCGUAGAUAUUAGGAAGAACACCAGUGGCGAAGGCGGCUCACUGGUCCGGUACUGACGCUGAGGUGCGAAAGCGUGGGGAGCAAACAGGAUUAGAUACCCUGAUAGUCCACGCCGUAAACUAUGGGUGCUAGCCGUCGGUCGGCAUGCCGGUCGGUGGCGCAGCAAACGCAUUAAGCACCCCGCCUGGGGAGUACGGUCGCAAGAUUA
rnacentral:rRNA from 1 species